rnacentral:rRNA from 1 species
CGCACGGGUGAGUAACACGUAUCCAACCUGCCGUCUACUCUUGGACAGCCUUCUGAAAGGAAGAUUAAUACAAGAUGGCAUCAUGAGUCCGCAUGUUCACAUGAUUAAAGGUAUUCCGGUAGACGAUGGGGAGUGCGUUCCAUUAGAUAGUAGGCGGGGUAACGGGCCCACCUAGUCUUCGAUGGAUAGGGGUUCUGAGAGGAAGGUCCCCCACAUUGGAACUGAGACACGGUCCAAACUCCUACGGGAGGCAGCAUG